rnacentral:sRNA from 1 species
UAAUGCCACACACGUACCGACACAUGACGCCGGGUGCCCGUCAGCCGGGUUGCGUCAUGGGGCACGUGGAGGUUCAAC